GAAGAAUUUAAGAACGGUCUUCCUUCCCUCAAACACAUCCCCCACAAACACACUCCAUUCAAAUUCCCUCAUCUUGAACCUCUCCCUUACCUUCCAACCUACACCAGCACAACAAUCACUCCUACAAAAAGGCCUCUCUUUCAUCCCCCAACCCAACACCAUGAGCCAGGAGGAGCUUCGAAGGGACAUCCACCAUUACCAUAGACGCCUCAAACUCAUUUACCACUUUAGGGACAACAAUAACCACACUUCCACACCAUUCAUGUUUCCUUCCACCUGGGAACCAGACAGCAUCCAUAUCGACCAAAAUCUCCAGACCCUCAUCAAACAGGACCUCCGCUCCCUCUCCCAAUUUUUCUCCCAUCCAAUGGACCUCAGCCACUCAAACGUAUCCCCCUCUGAAAAACAGGCCCUACACCAACUCAGACACCACUACCCCCAUAUCAUAAUCAAACCAGCAGAUAAAGGAUCAAAAAUUGUCAUUCUAGACACACACCAGUACUUCACAGAAGCCAACAGGCAACUCUCCAACCCACUCCACUACCGGCCCAUCCCCCAAUCCAUCCAACUCCAGACACAAGUGAAGAUCCGUAGACUAGUCCAUUCUUUAUAUUUAGAUCAUUUCAUUUCCAAAAAACAACUCAAAUUUCUUAUUGGCCCAGAUCAACCCAGACCCCGCUGCUUUUACCUCCUGCCCAAAAUUCAUAAACCACCAGAAUCCUGGACUAUUCCCUUCGAGGUUCCCCCUGGCAGACCAAUCAUUUUAGACUGCAGCUCAGCUACAUACAACAUAUCAUUUUCCAUUGACCACUUCAUCAACCCCCUUUCCACCAGACAUCCUAGUUACCUCAAAGACACAUAUGAUUACAUCAACAAGAUCCGACCCAUGGCAGUUCCCCACCAUACCCACCUCUUCACCAUAGAUGUAGAUAGUUUAUACACUAACAUUGACACCACAGCUGGCCUUCAGGCAAUCCGGAACACAUUUACACAAUUCCCAGACCCCAACCGCCCUGACGACAUCCUCUUACAGCUCAUCAACAUUUGCCUCACACACAAUGACUUUCUGUUUGACAACAAUAACUACCUUCAAAUUCAUUGAACUGCCAUG
rnacentral:lncRNA from 1 species